AUUUCUACAAAAUAGGUAGUAUCAGUUCAAAAACCUUAAUAGAUUGGCGGCAUUAUAUCUUAUUAGAGGAAUAUGUCCCUUAAUCGACAUUACACGAUAUAUCUUACUUAUUUUAAAAUUUUAUAUACCGCUGUUUAAAAAUUUAACUACAAAGUUAUAAAUUAUACCAAUAUUAUAAUAACAUAAGUAAAGGUGUAAACUAUAAAUAAGCUCCGAUGUAUUACUUUAAAUAAAAUUUAAGGAAAAUUAUCCAAAGAUAAUUAGAAAAAGGAUUUAAAAGUAAUAUUAUGCUUAUUAAUUAACCAAUUUUAAACCUAAUAUUAAUAAAUUAUGAAUUAGAAAAUAAAUGUGC
rnacentral:rRNA from 1 species